AUAAUUUUCAAUAACGAUCGUUCAUUAUUUAAAGGGUUUUUUGUGCAAUUUCUUAAAUGAAAAAGAGAUUAAAGGAUUAUUCUAGUAGCACAAAAUUUGGGUAGAAAA
rnacentral:lncRNA from 1 species